rnacentral:misc_RNA from 1 species
GUUUGGUUGAUAUCAGAUCUUUGCUGCUUUGAUGAAUCUAUUUAGCAGGGAUGAGUUGUAUAAAAUCCAAUCCUCUGCAGGGAUUCCAUCUCAAUCCAGUGGUACCUCAGGAUGAAUUUUUCUGCAACUACUAAAAGGUGAAUUCUCAUUGCAACAACAGUUCAAGAUCUGCAUACAGAUUAUAUAAAUAAUUUAUUGAGCUGUGCAUUUGGAAAUCUAUGCAGCUCUUGCGGAAUGCCUCUGUUAGUAUUUCUUAGUUCAAGAUAUGAGACUAAAUGACCCUGCAAUUCUGCGGAAGUCUGCUUCAACAUUUUGCCAUGCUGAUUCCGGUGCCUGAGCAUUUAGCGUAUAUAACCUGCCACGUCGAGCACAGCACACUGCUACAUUAUGCCGCUGAAACGUGGGGCUUUCGACUCUAUAUUCCAGCUCAUAGUAAUUAACAUUCGUCACAGAAUCCUUUCUCAAACUUGACCCUAUCAAAAUUCCUUUCACGUCUGGUUGUCGGGACGACGAUGUGAUCGUCUUCACCACAGGUUCACCCACUUCCUUUGGUCCUCCAAAUGCUUCAAUCCUACAACGAAAUGCAACAUUAUGUGUGUUGUGCAUCACAUUUACUCGGAUAGUUUACUUGUAAUGUUGAAGUAUACUCACGAGAAAUCAAGAGGAACGGGGGAGACGAUGACACUAACAUUGAGCUCGCCAUUUGAGCCCGGCGGACCGAAAGCAACAACAGGUUCAUUUACGUUCUUGCGCCGCCGAUCACUGGAUUUUAUUGGAGGUGGAUCAAGUGAUCUCUCAAAUUCUUUCUUCUCAGCUGCUCUAUACAGCAGAGUCUGGUCUCCGACCCAACUUGCUGGAUAUACGAAUUCUACACAGCAUUAAAAGGCUUUAGCUUUCUUUGAAACCAAACAGAGCUUCGAAACAAAUUCAUUUAACAGUGACUUACUAACCAAAUCCUUCAUUUGUCUGAAUACAACGGCUAUACCCUUCAAUUGGAUAAAGCACAUCCAGCUUAAGAUUCCGACCACUUUCUGGUGAUAACCCGAGAAGAAAACUUGUAAUUCCACCAAAAUUUGCGCCAACAGCCACUAGAGAAGCUGAGCCAGCACCCACUAGUAGCCUCCGGCGGAAUGUUGAUGCCAACGGCGCAAAUUGCUCUGCCGGAGGCCUUGCUCCCUCUUGGAUACUGUCUUUCCUCUCACCGGAUGACUGUGUCAUGUAAAUCCUGUGGAGUGAGGCAUUUUUGCAUGCAUAAAAGCAGAAUUGCAAUGCCAUAGGUCUGUUUUCUGUCGUUGUUGACUUGCGGCACCUUAAUUUGCUAGCUUAAAGAUUAUUCACGUUAUCCCCUACAUGGGUCAUUUUGGUGACCACUUCUGAAACUUGGCCGAAGUGGUAAACACAACAACUACACGACUCGUGCCUCGUUAGUUUGAGUGGCAACUCUAUCCAAUCUUGGUGGUUCUCAAUUUU